rnacentral:rRNA from 1 species
UCUGGCCUACGGGAGGCAGCAGUAGGGAAUAUUGCUCAAUGGGGGAAACCCUGAAGCAGCAACGCCGCGUGGAGGAUGAAGGUUUUCGGAUUGUAAACCUCUUUUGCCGGGGAGCAAAAAGCGGUACGUGUACCGCAUCGAGAGUACCCGGAGAAAAAGCAUCGGCUAACUCCGUGCCAGCAGCCGCGGUAAUACGGAGGAUGCGAGCGUUAUCCGGAUUUAUUGGGUUUAAAGGGUGCGCAGGCGGCGAGUUAAGUCAGCGGUAAAAUUUCGGGGCUCAACCCCGACGAGCCGUUGAAACUGGC